rnacentral:tRNA from 1 species
CAGUUGGUAGAGUGCACGGUUCGGGACCGUGAGGUCGCCGGUUCGAGUCCGGCCACCCCGACCA